GUCAACAACUGAUGAAUCAACAACAACUCUGCCUGACACCCCAACAUCUACUGAUGCAACAACAGUUUUGGCUUCCACAACCGCACAUCUGACAUCGACCACUAUAGCACCAGCAACAACAUCUGAUGCAGCAACCACAAGUAUUCCUGAUACCACAACAAUGAUAGAUGCAACAACAAACUUUGGCUUCCACAAUCACUCCUACAACAUCCUCAACUGUAGUGCCAGUUUCAACAACAACUGAUGCAUCAACAACAACUCUGUCUGACACCACAACAACAACAACAACUGAUGCAACAACAAUUUUUGGCUUCCACAACCACACCUCUGAUAUCGACCACUAUAGCACCAGCAUCAACAUCUGAUGCCGUAACCACAACUAUGCCUGACACCACAACAACAACUGAUACAACAACAUCUUUGGAUUCCACAACCCCAACUAUGCCUGACAUCACAACAAAUAUUUAUGCAACAACAACUUUGGCCAUAACCACCCAUCCAACAUCCUCAACUGUGGCACCAUUGUCAACAACAAAUGUUGCAUCAACCACAAGUAUGCUUGACACCACAGCAACUACUGAUGUGACAGCAACUUUGGCUCCUACAACCACUUCUCCAGAUUCCUCAACAGUGGCAAAAACAUCGACAACUGAUGGAACAACAACUAUGCCUGACUUUACAACAAUUAUUGAUGCAACAACUUUAGAUAGCACAUCCACCCUUUCAACAUCUUCAACUGUGGCACCAAUGUCAACAAAAACUGAAGUGGCAACCACAAUUCUCUCUGACACCACAGAAACUACUGAUGCAAAAACAAAUUUGGCUUCCGGAACCAUUCCUCAAAUAUCAUCAACUAUAGCACCAGCAUCAUCAACUGAUGCAGCAACCACAACUAUGCCAGACACAGCAACAUCUUUGCUUAGCGCCAGCAUCCCUCCAACAUCCUCAACUGUAGCAUCAUCAGCUGGGUUAGCAACCACACCUAUGCCUGACAACACAAUAGCACUUCCAAAAACAACUACUGGUGCAACAACAACAAUUUUGGCUACCACAAGCACUACUCCAACAUCCUCAAAUGUAGCACCAACACUGACAACUGAUUCGGCAACUAAAACUAAGCUUGAAUCCUCAACCACUAUUGGUGUAACAACAAGAACCCCUCAAAUAUCCUCAACUAUGCUCAAGCCUUACAUCACAACAAUUAUUGAAACAACAACAAAUUUGGUUUCCAAAACCACUAAUCCAACAUUCACAACCACAGCACAGGUGUUGACAAGUGACUCAGCAAUGACAACUAUUGCUGAUGCAACAACAGUACUUCCAACAACAACUAGUCAUGAAACAACAACCUUGGCUAUCACUAGCACCCCUCUAGAGUCCUCAUCUAAUGUAGCAACCACAACUUUGCCUGAACAUACAACAACUACUGGUGCAAAUACAACAACAACAACAACAAAUAAUAUUGAUGCAGCAGUCACAACUAUGUCUGAAAUAACAACAGUGUUUCCAACAAAUGCUACUAUUGUUGAGACAACAACAACUUUGGUUUCCACAACAACAAACAAUCCUACAACAAUUACUGUGGCUGAAACCACAACAUAUCUUCCAAAUACAGCUACUGGCGAGACAAUAACAACUUUGGCCACAUCUCCAACAUCCUUAUCUAUAGCACAAAAGUUGACUGACACAACCAUCCCUUCAACAUCCUCAAAUAUAGCACCAAAAUCAACAACUGAUGCAGCAACCACAACUUCACCUAAAACAACAACAGUACUUUCCAAAACAACUAUUAGUGCAACAGCUUUGGCUGCCAAAAGUACCCCUCCAGUGUCCUCAUCUGUAGCACCAACAUUGACAACUGAUGCAGCAAACGCAACUAUGGCUGAAACAGAAACAGUUCUUCCAACAAAAACUUUUGGUGCAACAACAAAAUCUGUUCUAGCACCAACAAUGACAUCUGAUGCAACAAUCAGAACUUUGCCUGAAACAUCAAUGGUAUUUUCAAAAACAACUAUUGGUGCAACAACAACAACUUUGACUAUUACAAGUGCUCCUCCAGCAUCCUCAUCUUUUGCACCAACUUUGACUACUGGUGCGGCAGUCACAACUAUUCCUGAAACAAAAAAAGUCCAUCCAGCAACAACUGUUGGUGCAACAACAGCUUUGUCUACAUUAUCUGUUCUAGCACCAAUGUCAGCAUCUGAUGCUGCUUCCACAACUAUGGCUGACACCACAACAAAUAUUGAUUCAAAAACAUCAACUUUGACUCCCACAAGCACUCCUCCAACAUCCUCAACUGUAGCACAGUUCUCAAAAUCUGAUGCAACAACCACUACUAUGCUUGGAACGACAACAGUCCUUCCAGCAAAGCCUAUUAGUGCAACACCAACAACUUUGGUUAACACAAGCACCCUUGCAACAUCUUCACUUGUAGAACCAAUGUUGACAGCUGAUGCAGCAAUCACAACUAUGGCUGACACCACAACAAUUACUGGUGCAACAACAAAUUUGGCCAACACAAGCACCCCGCCAAUAUCAUCAGUUAUACCACCAACGUCAACAUCUGAUGUGGCAGCCAAAACUAUGGCUGACACCACAACAAGUAUUGGUGCAACAGCAACAACUUUGACAACCACAACUAUGGCUGACACAACAACAAAUAUUGGUGCAACAACAGCAAAUUUGGUUAACACAAGCACUCCUCCAACAUCCUCAACUGUAGCACAAUUGUUGACAACUGAUUCAGCAACCACAGCUAUUCCUGAAAUAACAGUGGUACUUCCAACAAUGAUUGGUGCAACAACAACAACUUUGGCUACCAGAAGUACCCUUUCAACAUUCUCCACUCUAGCUCCAACAUCAACAACCGAUACACCAACUACAACUAUGCCUGAAAAAACAUUAGCACUUCUAACAAAUGGUAUUAUUGUUGAGGCAACUAAAACUUUGGUUUCCACAACAACAAACAAUCCAACAUCUACUAUGGCUGAAACCACAACAACCCUUCCAGUAACUUUGGCCACACUUCCAACAUCCUUGACUAUAGAACAAUCUUUGGCUGCUACAACCAUCCCUCAAACAUCAUCAAAUAUAGCACCCAUGUUGACAACUGAUAGAGCAACUACAAAUUCACCCGAAACAGCAACAAUUCUUUCAGCAACAACAAUUGGUGCAACAACAACAACUCUGGCUGCCAAAAGCACCUCUCCAGCAUCCUCAUCUGUAGCACCAACAACUGAUGCAGCAACCACAACUAUGCCUGAAACAACAUCAGUCCUACCAACAACACCUAUUGGUGCAACAACAACUUUGACACAAGCACCCCUCUAA
ensembl:lncRNA